UAGAGGAGGUGCUACGGAGUUAUGACGUCCAAUGAGAAGCUAAGCGAUAACCUUGGAGCGUAAAUUUGCUGCCAAACGAAUCCUCGGAUCAACUGUGAGAAACUUUCUCCCUCAGGGGGCAACCUGCUAACAUAAAUUGUGCAUCUAUCUUGACAUGUUCUUCAAAACACAAAUGAGAUUUCAUUAAUUGAAUCCACAGAUGAUGCUAUCUCUAUUGCACUCAACACUGCCCUUUCCAUCU